GACGAUCACGUGUACACUGGUGGUGACGUGAUUAGAAAUACGUCUUCAUGACGUCGCAAGUCUUUUAAAAUAAGUAAUGGUAAAAGCGGUAUAUAAAUAAAAGGGCACUUAAGUUAGCAUGUACUAAAAUCAGAUAAAAUCAAAUACGAUAGUUAAGCGACCGUGCUAGGAAUCCGGGAAUGCCUAACACCUUCUCCGGGGUUAACAGAAUUCCUUACUCGGAUUUCUGGUUCGCAGACUGUAACAGAGUCAUAAUCUUCCUCGGUUCAGGAUUCAAAUCGUUGACUUGGGACACCAUAAAUCUCCCAAGUGGGGACUUCGAAUAAAUAAUAACCAAAUCCCGUUCCGAUUGUCCUUUAAGUGGAAAAACUCCUUUACGUUCCCUUUGCGGGGGUGUAUAGUGAAAAAAUGAGGUGUGACACACCACAAUAUAACUGAAUACAUAAAAUGUUAAUAGAUUGUAUUAUUAUUCUGAUUCUAACUCUCACCAUCCAACGUGCUUGCCAACACGAAUGUCCCUGUGUAGUAAGAUUUUAGGUGACUUCCAUCCACGAUAAUAAUUGGUCUACAAUUAUCAAACCCCCUUAUAAAGGCAUACAAUGAUAUAUACACGUACAUGAAUUCAUUCUUUGGCGANNNNNNNNNNNNNNNNNNNNNNNNNNNNNNNNNNNNNNNNNNNNNNNAUACACGUACAUGAAUUCAUUCUUUGGCGAUUUUACCAUUCUUAUAUGGGAACCUGGAUAUGUCGUAUCCAUUGUAUAUAAGUAUCCUGGUAAUUUUUUAUAUGAAUCAGCCGGUUCACCUCUGAGAAAAUUCAUUGCCUUUUCUUUAGCCCUCCACGCCAAUAUAUAGCUAACGUCUACAUCUAAAUCUGAUUUCACAUCGUCAAUAAUGUCCCUCGGGGUGUAUUUCCUCUUAUGGUUUGUAAGCUUUGGCCUUAUAAUACCACAUAUAAGGCUGUUACUAGCCUGCCGCUGCUCGUACACCUUAUCCUUUGGUGGACAUGUAUGAUUAUUAUUGAAUUCUCUCACCUUGAAUAUUUCUGAUUUGUUAAUGCUUGAAGCCUUAAACCUCCAUUCACAAUCUUCUGAAAUACAUAAUAAUGCAUAGCGACAAAGAAUUAAUCAUUUUACAUUUGAUUAGCUACUUGUUUACAAAAAAUACAACUCAUUCAUCAGACAAAUAGAAUUUGACAUAUAUACAUCAUGAAUACAUAUUAACAAAUUUACAAGUGUAUAAUUAGUUUUCUAUACUACUGAUUUCCAAUAUAGUUACAUGUGUUAAAACACAAUGAAUACAACUGAAUACAUUUGUAUGAAUAUGCAAACACUUAAUACCACAGUAGACAAAAUAAGAAAAUAAUUAAAGCAACUGUUGUAUUUUUACACCAGUAAAAUACAUUUGAAUACAUGUAUUUAAGCACCAUAAACAAACAUAUGUUUUCAUAUGUGUUCAUCAGGAGGAGACACACAAAUACACAUAAAUACAACGAAGUUAAACAAAGAGCAAACCUGACAACAUUAGAAUGAUCAACCCGGAAUUGAAACCUUUGAGCUAUAGCAUAAUUCUCCAUCACCUAUUUCAAUGUAGGCUUAUCCUUAUAAACUUGUCCAGACAUAACCUCCUUUUGAUUAGUUUUUGAAAUUAUCAAAUUCUUGUGGAGUUCGAACUCUCCAAUCGCUUCUCCUGAAUUGACAAAUUCUAUAGCUAGUGUAUCAUCUGUAUCGCAACCGUACCUUUCAACUGCUAUGUUACAAUCGCUUCUCCUGAAUUGACAAAUUAUAUAGCUAGUGUAUCAUCUGUAUCACAAUCGUACCUUUCAACUGUUUCGUCUAUUUGCACAAUGUUGCCUUGAUUACACUACCUCUAGAUAUAAGCUCUUUUUCGAUAGUUGUUAUGCACAAAGGAUACACCCCAAAUUCGGUGAUCUCUUUUUGCAAUUCUACAUACACUCUGUAACCCAUAUCAUUGUAACCCUACUUCUCUUUCACUGCUCGGGUUAUCGUGAAGCUGCUAACCUAUCCCCUUCGACUGAACAUGCCCCUUCCCCUUUCACCUCUAGGAAAAACUUCUGGGAUGAGCCAUUCUACUCGUAAUUUUUAUAUUAGAGGGAAAAUUCUCGAUCCCAGACCUGGCUCCGAUCAAGGCUUAUAAAAGCAUCAACCUCAUCCUCCUAUCUUUGGGUUUGAUUUACGUGGCUCAAGACUUUGAGUCAAGAGGUCAGGUGUUCAGAAAGGUGGUGAUGCGGCAUUGGCAUUUUCAGCAAAUUCAUGAGAUAACUUGCCUUCUUUUCGUUUACGUGGCUACAUACUUGUAGCGAUCAAAGAGCAUAUUUAUUAUUAUUUAUUAUUUAUAUAAGGAAAAGGUAAUUGUAUGGGCCUUUGCUUCAAGAACAAUCGUAUUAGCGCCUUAGCAACCUGCCUUUCCAUUCUUCGAGUGCAGUUCCUUCUUGAGCCUUUUCUUUUUGACUCCUACCGAAGCAAGCCUCUCAAGUGCUGACCUUUCUUCCCACCUUUGAGCGAAGCAAGCCUCUCAAGUGCUGACCUUUCUUCCCCCCUUUGGUGAGCUGACCUUCUUGUGUCACGAGUGAUGUCAAACCUCCUUCUUGUCUUCUAUUCCGGGAAGUGGUAUAAUAGGUCCCCUAAGGGAAGCCCUUUGGCAGCUGUCCGAGCCUUCCCUUGAUUGUGCCUUUAGGCUUUCACGGAAGUGGUAUAAUAGGUCCCAUAAGGGAAGCCCUUUGGCAGUUGUCCAAGCCUUCCCUUGAUUGUGCCUUUAGGCUUUCCUCUUGCUGCUUUGUUUGCACUUUCGAAUCCGCUUCUGUAAAGAAAGGAGAAGAGAGACGCGUCGGCUAACUAAGGACGAUGAUGGAAACUAUCCCAGAAAGGUGAGCAAGAAGAGUCUUCACUACUAGCUAGUAUUGAAAGAAAAGAAGGCCUACCUUCGCUUUGUGCACUAAGAGCUUUCUUUCCUGUAGGAUAGGAAGAAUGGAAUAGGAAGAUAGAAGGAAAUUCUUCAGAGUGAAACAAGUUCCGGCCAGGAUGAUUGAGAAAGAUUCAACCAAUUUGAACCGCUCACAUCACAAUAGUAGUAGCGUAAAGGCCGUAAGUCGGGGGGCGGCCAUAACAUAAGGCUAUUACUUUCACACCUCUCUAUCUAUAGAUAGAGAGAGAUCCGCUGCGUGAGCAACCCGACUGUGCCUUACAUGUGCUCUACAGGCCGCACGUAAUCUUUCUUCCCAACGAGCCCUUUUUUUUAUUUGGAAGACGGGCAUUGCGUUCGGUUCGAAAGGCAUGGUUUUCAGUAUGUCUCCAGAUAGGGCCCCACUAGUCCGGCUAGCUAGUGAGCGGUUCUUUCGGGCGGGAAGCAGGCCGGGCCCUACGGGCGGGCAUCUCCCGCAACGCAAGCACCAUU
rnacentral:lncRNA from 1 species